ACACUAUCUCCGUAUAUUUCAUUAUUAUAUAAUAUUCGCAGCAGUGUUUUGUAUUCUUGUAAUAUUCGGCGAACAAGAAAUAUGAAAUUUUACAUUGUGACUUUGCUGCUGGUUCUUGCGCUUGUGACAGAAACUACAUGUACGCCGCCUCUUAAGAUGUCAAGUUCAAGAGACUUAGACAGGCAUAGCACUGAGGAAAAAAAAAGAGAUACACCGUUAUAUGGAUCUACGUUUACGAGCUUUAUCAGUUAUUAUGGGUAUCCCGGAAAUGAUGAGUGACUGGAAUUCUACACAGUACCAUAUGUAGCGAAACCUGGAAAAAGCCGAUUCUGAAAGAUGUUUACAUGUAUAGAAAAAGAACUGAAUUUUUGCUGCCUUU